rnacentral:rRNA from 1 species
UACGAAGGGGGCGAGCGUUGCUCGGAAUCACUGGGCGUAAAGCGCACGUAGGCGGCUUUUUAAGUCAGGGGUGAAAUCCUGGAGCUCAACUCCAGAACUGCCUUUGAUACUGAGAAGCUUGAGUCCGGGAGAGGUGAGUGGAACUGCGAGUGUAGAGGUGAAAUUCGUAGAUAUUCGCAAGAACACCAGUGGCGAAGGCGGCUCACUGGCCCGGUACUGACGCUGAGGCACGAAAGCGUGGGGAGCAAACAGG